AAUACCGGAAGUACUUGCUGUAGGCAUGGAAUUUGACCACUAGAGGAAAUACACGGGAACAAUAAAUGAUAGUCCUCUGGCUACUUGAAGAUGUGUGUUUUUAUCGCCCUCUAGUGGUUACAAUGAAUGAAUAAAUUGGUCAAGCCAAAGCCUCGUGAAAACAUCCAGGUUCCUAUCCCCACCUCUGAGAAAAUCUCCCUACACCUCUCGAGGUCCCUCCAAAUUCCUGGCCAAAUGAGGCCUUUUCUUUGACGAGCGACACGAGGGCAUUCCUCAUCAGGGGGACACAAUACCCCCUUUCACCGUGGCCUGGCUCUGAAAUUUCACAGGUGAUGGGAGGAACGGUGGACACUCGAUCCUCCCUCCCCUCUCCAGUGUAACACAUCAGCCCCAGGAAGCGGGAAUGUGGCUGCUGCAUGGAGAAAGAGGAAAAAUGUGGAGUGUGGAGCAAUGUCUGUUGACUGUGCUGAGAGCAUUAUUUCAGGGACUAAAGAUGCAGAUCAUUAAUAAUUUGUUGUAAUGAAAUCGUGAUGUUUGACAUAUCAGAGGUGGCUCUAUCGCACCAUUAAUAAAAUGCAAGCCCCACCCCACAUAUGGGUUUUAAGGAAAGAGGUGAAAGGGGGGGCAUGGACUACUAAAACUACUAAAACUGUAAAAGAGUUUCAGGUAGCGAGAGAGAUGAAGAUGAAAGGCUGUGGCUGCCUCUGUAAGAAAUCUGAGGAAAUGACAGAAUUAGAAAAAGGCCCCUGUCUUUCUCAGCAAGGCAUUUUAAAUGCAGAGAGACCCCCCGUGGGGGAUAUUGAUGCUCCUACUUGUCAUUUAGCCAAUCCUCUCAUCCAGACACACUUACAGCAGUGGGAUGCAGAGUAAGAUUCUCAUUCCAGCCCAAAAGAAAAAAAGCUUAGCAGCCUUUCAGUGAUUUAUUGGAAAAUCAAACAGAGUCAUUAGGGAGCCGUUAAGACUCAAUAUAGAAGCAGCGUGCUCCUUUUAAGUGGAGGUGUUAGAUCUAUUAUUUUUAUUUCCAUCACUGCUGCACUGCUUCUCUCAGAAAACACAUUAUUACUAUUUGUUUUAUUUCCAAAGAUCAUUUUGAUAGUUUUUAUGCCUGCUAACUCGACAUAUGUUACUACAGCCAGGAAACUGGUUGGUGGAAGCACUAGAAAACAAUAACAAUCGUGCC